rnacentral:rRNA from 1 species
UACAGAGGGUGCAAGCGUUAAUCGGAAUGACUGGGCGUAAAGCGCAUGUAGGUGGUGUAAUAAGUUUGAUGUGAAAUCCCCGGGCUUAACCUGGGAACGGCGUUGAAGACUGUUAGACUUGAGUCGAAGAGAGGGUUGUGGAAUUUCCGGUGUAGCAGUGAAAUGCGUAGAGAUCAUGAGGAAGACCAGUGGCGAAGGCGGGUCUCUGGACAGUUCCUGACACUGAGGCACGAAGGCCAGGGGAGCAAACGGG